CUUUUACACAUGGCAAGUCGGACGGCAGCGGGGUAGUGCUUGCACUACUGCCGGCGAGUGGCGAACGGGUGAGUAACAUAUCGGAACGUACCGGGCAGUGGGGGAUAACUGAUCGAAAGAUCAGCUAAUACCGCAUAUUUUCUGAGGAAGAAAGCAGGGGACCUUCGGGCCUUGCGCUAUCCGAGCGGCCGAUAUCUGAUUAGCUUGUUGGCGGGGUAAAGGCCCACCAAGGCGACGAUCAGUAGCGGGUCUGAGAGGACGAUCCGCCACACUGGGACUGAGACACGGCCCAGACUCCUACGGGAGGCAGCAGUGGGGAAUUUUGGACAAUGGGCGCAAGCCUGAUCCAGCCAUGCCGCGUGUCUGAAGAAGGCCUUCGGGUUGUAAAGGACUUUUGUCGGGGAAGAAAAGGUCGGGGUUAAUACCCCCGGCUGAUGACGGUACCCGAAGAAUAAGCACCGGCUAACUACGUGCCAGCAGCCGCGGUAAUACGUAGGGUGCGAGCGUUAAUCGGAAUUACUGGGCGUAAAGCGGGCGCAGACGGUUACUUAAGCAGGAUGUGAAAUCCCCGGGCUCAACCCGGGAAUUGCGUUCUGAACUGGGUGGCUAGAGUGUGUCAGAGGGAGGUAGAAUUCCACGUGUAGCAGUGAAAUGCGUAGAGAUGUGGAGGAAUACCGAUGGCGAAGGCAGCCUCCUGGGAUAACACUGACGUUCAUGCCCGAAAGCGUGGGUAGCAAACAGGAUUAGAUACCCUGGUAGUCCACGCCCUAAACGAUGUCGAUUAGCUGUUGGGCAGCCUGACUGCUUGGUUAGCGAAGCUAACGCGUGAAAUCGACCGCCUGGGGAGUACGGUCGCAAGAUUAAAACUCAUAGGAAUUGACGGGGACCCCGCACAAGCGGUGGAUUGAUG
rnacentral:rRNA from 1 species